GCGCCCAUAGCUCAGCCGGAUAGAGCGCUUCCCUGCGGAGGAAGAGGUCAGAGGUUCGAAUCCUCUUGGGCGCG
rnacentral:tRNA from 1 species